UACGUAGAAGGGCAAGUCUAGAGCGGUAGAACUCGGCGUACAGCGCGUCAAAGCGUAAUGGUGAACCAGAAUUACAGGGCAACACUAGGAUUAUCGGUCAAAUGAGAACAUGCCUGGUGGAAAGCCGAAGGCGAAGGCACCUGUACCUUGGUCACUCACUUUACUUAUUAAAUUUAUUUAAUAAGUAAAGUAUCACUGAAGCUCAAACGCGGAAGCUUGGGGAUCAAACCGG
rnacentral:rRNA from 1 species